AGCAAUUCUCCUGCCUCAGCCUCCUGAGUAGCUGGGAUUACAGGCCUCCUGGAGUCACAAAGCCUGGAGAACAGGAGAACCACCAAAGAAGACGAAACAGCUAGUUCCUGCCUUAAUGAUUAACCGACCUUGCAACAUUCCACCAUUGUGAUAUGUUCCUGCCCUACCCUAACUAAUCCAUCCACCUUGUGAUAUCCUGCCUUGUGACUUCCUCCCACUUUGUGACUAUGCACUUUGUGACAUUCUUCCCCUGCCCAAAAAAACUGCCCCUAACUGUAACUUUCCACUACCUACCCCAAACCUAUAAAACCAGUUCCACUCCCACCACCCUUCGCUGACUCCUUUCUCUGACUCAGCCCACUUGCACCCAGGUGAAUAAACAGCCUUGUUGCUCAUA